rnacentral:lncRNA from 1 species
CCUUGGCGCACUCCUCAUAUGCCUCUUUGGUCGAAAAAAUUCCUUCCGCUGCACUCUUCCAUUUCCACCAUCCUGUUUGCCAAGACAAGGAGAAAAAGCAUAAUCAAACUCAUCAAAUUAUCCUCCAUCUCCUUUUCCCUCCCCCUCAGUUCCCUUCUCCACUUAAUAUCCCACUCCCACCCUUCCUCCGACCAUUUCCCAGACCCCUCCACACUGAUACUUCUCA